ensembl:lncRNA
GCCUACAGGAAGCGGCGUGGGUGAGGCGGCGUGGUGGCUAAAUCCACAGCGGGACUUCUGUGAUGUUACACUGCUGUACGCAUGCGCUCUCUGCCAGCUGCUCCAUGGCAGGUCAGUGGGUGCCCCACAGGAGGUGUGAAGCCAAAGCAUCACAUUGCUGAAGAACUGCAGCAGGAUGGGAGGGAGCAUCUGUGCCAUGGAAGAGCCUCGUGGUUAGGACAUGGCUUUGAAUCCUCUCAAGGGGAGGGAACCCAAUGUGGGUCCCUCACAUCCUGAAAGUGCUCUGUGGCUGCUGUGCUCUGGGUUAAGCUGCUGGGCUCUACUCCUCUCAGCAGUCACCCUUCCUGGUGGAAUGCUUCCAAGGCACAAAGCAGAGGAACAGUUGGAUCUGUGCACUGAACACUUCCUGAGCAAGGCUGAGACCCCAGGGCUGGGUGGUAUAGACAGGAGAGCUAAGAGGGAUGGCACCAGAGGAGUCUGAGUUCAAAUCCAAUGGGGUUUCAAUUCCAGCAGGAUUAGGAGACAGCUGCCUCCAGUUAAGGAGUUUCAAGGAACAUGAUUUUGGACUAAAGUUCUUAACUUUUCUCACUUCGAUUACAUCUGGCAACUUGGAAAUACUACCAUUCUUAUUCCACAUAAAAGUGAAUCAGCAAGAAAGUGUUGGAACUUAUCUCUGAGAUUUUAUUUUAUUUUUUCCAUUUGUAGUGCUCCUAAAAUUCAUGGGACCCCAGAGAGGACACUUUUCCAUGUCUGUUUAUUUUUCUCCAGUAAUGCACCACUGAGAAAUGUUGUUAUGUGUGUUUUGACAGUGCAGAUCCUCCUUCACAUUACCACCGUGGUUGUGUGCAGAGGUGCUGAGCAGAUUCUGAUCCCAUGGAUGAUGCUGGAAGUACCAAUUGGUGGAAAUCAUUCCACACCAAAAGCAAGCAUGUUCAUGAGAGUAUGGGCUACUAAAUCUAUCUUCCUUCCUUCCUUCCCUCCUUCCCUCCUUCCCUCCUUCCUUCCUUCCUUCCUUCCUUCCUUCCUUCCUUCCUUCCUUCCUUCCUUCCUUCCUUCCUUCCUUCCUUCCUUCCUUCCUU